rnacentral:rRNA from 1 species
GAUGAACGCUGGCGGCGUGCCUAACACAUGCAAGUCGAGCGAUUCUCUUCGGAGAAGAGCGGCGGACGGGUGAGUAACGCGUGGGUAACCUGCCCUGUGCACACGGAUAACAUACCGAAAGGUAUGCUAAUACGAGAUAAUAUGCUUUUAUCGCAUGGUAGAAGUAUCAAAGCUUUUGCGGUACAGGAUGGACCCGCGCCUGAUUAGCUAGUUGGUAAGGUAACGGCUUACCAAGGCGACGAUCAGUAGCCGACCUGAGAGGGUGAUCGGCCACAUUGGAACUGAGACACGGUCCAAGCUCCUACGGGAGGCAGCAGUGGGGAAUAUUGCACAAUGGGCGAAAGCCUGAUGCAGCAACGCCGCGUGAGCGAUGAAGGCCUUCGGGUCGUAAAGCUCUGUCCUCAAGGAAGAUAAUGACGGUACUUGAGGAGGAAGCCCCGGCUAACUACGUGCCAGCAGCCGCCGUAACAC